UACUACGGGAGGCAGCAGUGGGGAAUAUUGGACAAUGGGCGAAAGCCUGAUCCAGCCAUGCCGCGUGUGUGAAGAAGGUCUUCGGAUUGUAAAGCACUUUAAGUUGGGAGGAAGGGCAGUAAGUUAAUACCUUGCUGUUUUGACGUUACCGACAGAAUAAGCACCGGCUAACUUCGUGCCAGCAGCCGCGGUAAUACGAAGGGUGCAAGCGUUAAUCGGAAUUACUGGGCGUAAAGCGCGCGUAGGUGGUUCGUUAAGUUGGAUGUGAAAGCCCCGGGCUCAACCUGGGAACUGCAUCCAAAACUGGCGAGCUAGAGUAUGGCAGAGGGUGGGGGAAUUUCCUGUGUACCGGUGAAAUGCCUAUAUAUAGGGAAGGAACACCAGUGGCGAAGGCGACCACCUGGGCUAAUACUGACACUGAGGUGCGAAAGCGGGGGGGACCAACAGG
rnacentral:rRNA from 1 species